GAGGGUGUGUCUUUCUCAAAGUAAUCAAAAAGAUAACCAAUUUCAUCAGCAUGAGACGCGCCAUCUGAUGUUAUAUUUAAUUUAUUCUUCACGAAAUUUCUACCGCCACUGUAUGAAAAUACAUAUCGGAAAACAGCCUUAGCACCGUGUUCAAUGAAUUUCUUCAUACUUUUCUCCAUCGGGUAGUUAAAAUAAAUGUCUGAGCUAAAAUCAAUGAUUUCCCAUUUUAAGUUUUCGUUAACUUCCUCAUCACCGAUAUAGAAAUGACGAACGAUGUCCUCCAUUUCCCGAAAUUCUUCAUUGUAGUGGAAGGCUUCAUUCAGUGAAGUGUUAAAUCCGUUCCAAGUAUUGUAGAAACUAGCAGGUUCAUUUCCAUACAUAAAUAGAUAUUCUUGAGUAUUAAACCCGGCUAAAACUGGAACGUUGUUGAUAUUAGGAACAUCCAUAUUGAGAGGGUGACCGGUCACAAAAGCUUCAACGCCUUCGAAAUCCUGUUCAAUACAGGGACCAAAUUCUAAUUCUAAUUCUGAAGCAGCGUCAAUUACUAAUCUUGUAUCGACACCUUUUAAGAAAUUAAGUGCUUCAGAAGAAUCGUCUGUUUGAAAACCGAGAUGAUGAGCUAUCUGUAACGGCGCCGUUUCAUCUGAACCUCUCAUAGUCCACGAGCCUAAAAUCGAUCCGCUUUGUAAAAUCACUUGGUUGUAUAACUGCGGCUCACUGAAGUAUACGUGGUAUUCGACUGACGCUGCUCCAGCGCUCUCACCCAUAAUAGUAAUUUUAUUAGCAUCACCAUCGAACUCAGCAAUGUUCUCUUUUAUCCAACGCAACGCCAAAACUUGGUCCUUUAGACCUUGGUUUCCUGGGACUUCUGGUGUGUUUAGGCACAUGAAUCCAUAUGGACCUAGUCGGUAAUUGAGAGUGACUAGUAUAACGUUAUGUUGGACCAAAAACUUAGGUCCAUAGAGGUAUCUAUUAGAAAAGCCAUAUGCAAAUGCACCGCCGUGUAUCCAGACGAGUACUGGUAGCCUGUUGCUGCUGCUGGCUAGGUGUGGGACGUAUACGUUUAAGUGGAGGCAGUCCAAUGUACCAACAAUAGUAUUAUUGAAUUCUUCGAUUUGUGGACACAUCGCUGAUUCAUCGUAGGCUGAAAAAACGCCUUCGAAUGCUGGGUGAGGAACAGCAGCCUGUAACAAAUAUGUAAUUGUUUUAGUCUCAUCCCACUGUGUGAGUCUUUUAGUUAAUUACUAAAGUUGACUCUAUCCUUUUUU
rnacentral:misc_RNA from 1 species